rnacentral:rRNA from 1 species
CCUACGGGGGACAGCAGUGAGGAAUAUUGGUCAAUGGCCGUAAGCCUGAACCAGCCAAGUCGCGUGAGGGAUGACUGCCCUAUGGGUUGUAAACCUCUUUUAUAAGGGAAUAAAGUGUGGUACGUGUACUAUUAUGUCUGUACCUUAUGAAUAAGGAUCGGCUAACUCCGUGCCAGCAGCCGCGGUAAUACGGAGGAUCCGAGCGUUAUCCGGAUUUAUUGGGUUUAAAGGGUGCGUAGGCGGCUUUUUAAGUCAGUUGUGAAAGUUUGUGGCUCAACCAUAGAAUUGCAUUUGAUACUGGGAGCCUUGAGUACGGUUGAGGUAGGCGGAAUGCGUGGUGUAGCGGUGAAAUGCUUAGAUAUCACGCAGAACUCCGAUUGCGAAGGCAGCCUACCAAGCUGCGACUGACGCUGAUGCACGAAAGCGUGGGUAUCAAACAGGAUUAGAUACCCCAGUAGUC